GUGUGCUCCAAACAGGGAUCACCUGUGCUCUGCCCACCUGGGAUCACCCAGAGCUCUGAGACCAUUGGAGCUGGACCAGAUCACAAAGUUCUUCCCACCGAGGGUGGACUCUAAUGCUGGGGCUUCUCCCCGGUGUGGAUUCGCUGGUGGAUGACGAGGCUGCACUUUUGCCUGAAUGCCUUUCCGCAAUCGGGACAGCGGAAGGGCCUCUCCUUGGUGUGAAUGCUCUGGUGACGGACCAGAUGGGAGUUGGUGUAAAACCUCUGAUGGCAUUCAGCACACUCAAAGGGCUUCUCCCCAGUGUGUCUCCUCAGGUGGGCAGUCAGUUUGGAUCUCCACCUGAAGCUCUUCCCACACUCGGAGCACUUGUGGGGCUUCUCCUCCCCUCCCUGGAGCUGCUCACGGGGCCCCAGCUCGGAUCUCUGAGCCCCUCCAUGGCCCAGGCUGGCUCUUUCCCCCUCGGAUCCCCGCGCUCUGCCUUUGCAGCCCCUCCUGCUCAGGGAUCUCCGCGGCUUCUCCUCCCCGUUGGCUUCUCCCUGCCGAGCCGUGGAGCCGCUCCAAACGGCCUCUGCCACCGGCUCCUCGCUGCUCUCCAUGCUCAGCUCCUGCUCGGGGGGAGCAAGGACAAGGACACGAUGGGAUUUGCCCCUAUGGGGACAAGGACACGAUGGGAUUUGCUCCCACGGGGACAAGGACACGAUGGGAUUUGCCCCCGUGGGGACAAGGACACGAUGGGAUUUGCCCCCACGGGGACAAGGACACGAUGGGAUUUGCCUCCCCUGCCCCCCACAAAAACCCUCCCGGAGCCCCCCGCGAUGGGGUCGGGCCCAGCUCCCCCUCUCCGCUCACCUGCGGGCUCCGGGCGGCGAUGCCGGCGGGGCCGGGGCAGCUGCGGCCGGAGCGCGGGAACCGCGUGGUGUUGGGCGCCUCUUCCUCCCGGUGUUUCUGUUCCGUUGUCCCUCCUCUUCCUUUGUCCGGCCUCUUCCUUUGUCCCUCCUCUUUCUCCUUCUCCCCCUCCUCUCCCUCCCGCUCCUCCUCCGCUCCGAGUCCGGCCCGGGCAGCGCCGGCACCCAAAAGCAGGCGGGGAAGAAGGGCGUGGUUAUGCAAAUCAGGGAGCGAUCGCGCGCUGGGAUUGGUGGGAGGGAGGAGCGCGGGCUUUGCUCGGCGACGUCAUGGCUGGAGGGGACCGCGAAUGGGAAUGGGGACCAGGAACGGAAAAGGGACCCUGUGGUGGUCUCAGGGGUCCCAAGAUGAGGGAGGGAUGAAAAUUUUGACUCCGUGUUUUUAUUUUCAGAAAGACGAUUUAUUAUUUUAUGAUAUAUAUAGUACACUAAAAGCAAAUGCUAUAUUAAAGGUAUACGAAAGUAAUAGAAAACUAAGAUUUCAUCAGAAAGCUAGAAAAUAAUAAGAAACAAUGAUCAUAAAAUCUCGUGAGUAACCAAAUUUCAAGACAGCUAAACUGUGAUUGGUCCUUCAUUAGCAACAACCACACUAGACCAAUCAAAGAUGAAAUUGCUGCAUUCCACAGCACCAGAUAAUUAGUGUUUAUAGCUUCAUUUUAGAGGCCAUUCAGCUUCUCAGGAGAAAAAGAUCCUAAGGAAAGGAUUUUUUAAUAAAAUAUGUCCAUGACACA